rnacentral:rRNA from 1 species
UGAACCUUUACUAUAGCUUGACACUGAACAUUGAGCCUUGAUGUGUAGGAUAGGUGGGAGGCUUUGAAGUGUGGACGCCAGUCUGCAUGGAGCCGACCUUGAAAUACCACCCUUUAAUGUUUGAUGUUCUAACGUGGACCCGUGAUCCGGGUUGCGGACAGUGUCUGGUGGGUAGUUUGACUGGGGCGGUCUCCUCCUAAAGAGUAACGGAGGAGCACGAAGGUUGGCUAAUCCUGGUCGGACAUCAGGAGGUUAGUGCAAUGGCAUAAGCCAGCUUGACUGCGAGCGUGACGGCGCGAGCAGGUGCGAAAGCAGGUCAUAGUGAUCCGGUGGUUCUGAAUGGAAGGGCCAUCGCUCAACGGAUAAAAGGUACUCCGGGGAUAACAGGCUGAUACCGCCCAAGAGUUCAUAUCGACGGCGGUGUUUGGCACCUCGAUGUCGGCUCAUCACAUCCUGGGGCUGAAGUAGGUCCCAAGGGUAUGGCUGUUCGCCAUUUAAAGUGGUACGCGAGCUGGGUUUAGAACGUCGUGAGACAGUUCGGUCCCUAUCUGCCGUGGGCGCUGGAGAACUGAGGGGGGCUGCUCCUAGUACGAGAGGACCGGAGUGGACGCAUCACUGGUGUUCGGGUUGUCAUGCCAAUGGCACUGCCCGGUAGCUAAAUGCGGAAGAGAUAAGUGCUGAAAGCAUCUAAGCACGAAACUUGCCCCGAGAUGAGUUCUCCCUGACUCCUUGAGAGUCCUGAAGGAACGUUGAAGACGACGACGUUGAUAGGCCGGGUGUGUAAGCGCAGCGAUGCGUUGAGCUAACCGGUACUAAUGAACCGUGAGGCUUAACCUUACAACGCCGAAGGUGUUU